AUGAACGCUAGCGGCAGGCUUAAUACAUGCAAGUUGAGGGGCAGCAUGAUAUACGCGAGUAUAUUGGAUGGCGACCGGCGGACGGGUGAGUAAUAGGUAGGAGACCUACCUCAGUACAGGGGGAUAGCAUAGAGAAAUCUGUGGUAAUACCCCAUGAGGUUAUAUGAAUAGAGGCAUAUAAUCAAAGCAUAAGCGAUUAUGCGGUAUGAGAGGGGCCUACUGACCAUUAGCUAGUUGGUGAGGUAAGGGCUCACCAAGGCGAAGAUGGUUAGGGGUUUUGAGAGAGAGACCCCCCACAUUGGAACUGAGAGACGGUCCAGACUCCUACGGGAGGCAGCAGUAGGGAAUAUUGGGCAAUGGGCGAAAGCCUGACCCAGCCAUGCCGCGUGAAGGAAGACGGCCUUAUGGGUUGUAAACUUCUUUACUACGCGAAUAGAGGUUAGUACGAGAUACUAAUAGGAAGGUAGUGUAGUAAAAAGCACCGGCUAACUCCGUG
rnacentral:rRNA from 1 species